GUUUAAUUCCACCAAUCAGACUCACAACAAGAUGCAAACAAGGCAAUGAAUGCAGCAAAAACGAAUAUCGGAAUGUUAAAGAAUGCAAGUCUAGAAACCCGAUCUGCAGAUGUUGCUGCGUGGGAGAAGAUUGUAAUAAACCGGAAUUGUGAUGUUUUCCAAGUCCUGAACAAAAGAUCAACCAGACAAAAGAAACUAUCGGAAUCUCUACUGUCUCGAUAUGGAUCAAAUAAAUUUAUAUCUUUCAAAAAUAAAAACUGAGUAUAAUAACUAAUAUUCGAGUGAUUUAGUAUGCAAAGAUAUGAUACAAACGAUUUGCUUAUUUUCCCGGAAUGCGCUCUGCCAGCCCUUUCACGGUGCCAUAGUCGCUACGUACAUACAAUAAACCAUAAUACAUACAUAAAAGCGGACUACAGGUUGAGAAUUUGUUAAGCAAUGCAUUGUUCAUGUUGCCAAUGUUUUAUGUCAAAAAAUAAAAGAGGCAUUUGCAAAAAGA